GAUGAAGAACGUAGCGAAAUGCGAUAAGUAAUGUGAAUUGCAGAAUUCAGUGAAUCAUCGAAUCUUUGAACGCACAUUGCGCCCGCCAGUAUUCUGGCGGGCAUGCCUGUUCGAGCGUCAUUACAACCCUCAGGCCCCCGGGCCUGGCGUUGGGGAUCGGCGGAAGCCCCCUGCGGGCACAACGCCGUCCCCCAAAUACAGUGGCGGUCCCGCCGCAGCUUCCAUUGCGUAGUAGCUAACACCUCGCAACUGGAGAGCGGCGCGGCCACGCCGUAAAACACCCAACUUCUGCAUGUUGACCUCGAAUCAGGUAGGAAUACCCGCUGAACUUAAGCAUAUCAAUAUGCGGAGGA
rnacentral:misc_RNA from 1 species